rnacentral:rRNA from 1 species
GUGAGGAAUAUUGGUCAAUGGGCGGGAGCCUGAACCAGCCAAGUCGCGUGAAGGAAGAAGGAUCUAUGGUUCGUAAACUUCUUUUGCAGGGGAAUAAAGUGCAGGACGUGUCCUGUUUUGUAUGUACCCUGAGAAUAAGGAUCGGCUAACUCCGUGCCAGCAGCCGCGGUAAUACGGAGGAUCCGAGCGUUAUCCGGAUUUAUUGGGUUUAAAGGGUGCGUAGGUGGUUUGAUAAGUCAGCGGUGAAAGUUUGCAGCUUAACUGUAAAAAUGCCGUUGAAACUGUCGGACUUGAGUGUAAAGGAGGUAGGCGGAAUGCGUGGUGUAGCGGUGAAAUGCAUAGAUAUCACGCAGAACUCCGAUUGCGAAGGCAGCUUACUAAGCUACAACUGACACUGAAGCACGAAAGCGUGGGGAUCAAACAGGAUUAGAAACCCCUGUAGUCC